rnacentral:rRNA from 1 species
GACGAACGCUGGCGGCGUGCUUAACACAUGCAAGUCGAACGGAACUCUUUGGAUCGAAGACUUCGGUCAAGUGAAUUUGAGUUUAGUGGCGGACGGGUGAGUAACGCGUGAGGAACCUGCCUUUCAGAGGGGGACAACAGUUGGAAACGACUGCUAAUACCGCAUAACGUAUAGAGAUCGCAUGGUCUUUAUACCAAAGAUUUAUCGCUGAAAGAUGGCCUCGCGUCUGAUUAGCUAGUUGGUGAGGUAACGGCCCACCAAGGCGACGAUCAGUAGCCGGACUGAGAGGUUGACCGGCCACAUUGGGACUGAGAUACGGCCCAGACUCCUACGGGAGGCAGCAGUGGGGAAUAUUGGGCAAUGGGCGCAAGCCUGACCCAGCAACGCCGCGUGAAGGAAG